rnacentral:rRNA from 1 species
GAUGAACGCUAGCGGCAGGCUUAAUACAUGCAAGUCGAGGGGCAGCGCGGGUAGCAAUACCUGGCGGCGACCGGCAAACGGGUGCGGAACACGUACGCAACCUUCCCAUAACUGGUGAAUAGCCCUCCGAAAGGAGGAUUAAUACACCGUAACAUAACGAAGAGGCAUCUUUUUGUUAUUAUAGUAGCAAUACGGUUUUGGAUGGGCGUGCGCCUGAUUAGGUAGUUGGCGGGGUAACGGCCCACCAAGCCUGCGAUCAGUAACUGGUGUGAGAGCACGACCAGUCACACGGGCACUGAGACACGGGCCCGACUCCUACGGGAGGCAGCAGUAAGGAAUAUUGGUCAAUGGACGAAAGUCUGAACCAGCCAUGCCGCGUGAAGGAUUAAGGCCCUCUGGGUUGUAAACUUCUUUUAUCUGGGACGAAAAAAGGGCAUUCUUGCUCACUUGACGGUACCAGAGGAAUAAGCACCGGCUAACUCCGUGCCAGCCGCCGCCGUAA